rnacentral:rRNA from 1 species
UAGGGAAUUGUUCGCAAUGGGCGCAAGCCUGACGACGCAACGCCGCGUGGAGGAUGAAGACCUUCGGGUCGUAAACUCCUUUCGACCGAGAUGAAUACCUGCCGACCUAACACGUUGGCAGGCUGACAGUAUCGAGGGAAGAAGCCCCGGCUAACUCCGUGCCAGCAGCCGCGGUAAUACGGGGGGGGCAAGCGUUGUUCGGAAUUACUGGGCGUAAAGGGUUCGUAGGUGGCCUACUAAGUCAGACGUGAAAUCCCUCAGCUUAACUGGGGAACUGCGUCUGAUACUGGGGGGCUUGAGUGCAGGAGAGGAACGCGGAAUUCCAGGUGUAGCGGUGAAAUGCGUAGAUAUCUGGAGGAACACCGGUGGCGAAGGCGGCGUUCUGGACUGCAACUGACACUGAUGAACGAAAGCCAGGGGAGCAAACGGG